GACGAACCGUGCGACCGUUAUUCGGAAUCACUGGGCUUAAAGCGCGUGUAGGCGGCUCGGUAAGUCCGCUCUGAAAGUCCGGGGCUCAACCCCGGGAGGCGGGUGGAUACUGUCGAGCUCGAGUCCGGAAGAGGCGAGUGGAAUUCCUGGUGUAGCGGUGAAAUGCGCAGAUAUCAGGAGGAACACCGAUGGCGAAGGCAGCUCGCUGGGACGGUACUGACGCUGAGACGCGAAAGCGUGGGGAGCAAACAGG
rnacentral:rRNA from 1 species